CCGACCUUAGCUCAGUUGGUAGAGCGGAAGACUGUAGAUCCUUAGGUCGCUGGUUCGAAUCCGGCAGGUCGGA
rnacentral:tRNA from 1 species